AUUAUCCAGAGUGGAUGAGAGAACGGCUCUAUGAUUCCACAGCAACCUAUUAAAUUAGGUGCUAAUACCGGCAAAGCAUGUAUUUGUAUAUGUUUUGAAUGAUGA
rnacentral:ncRNA from 1 species